CCUACGGGAGGCAGCAGUGGGGAAUAUUGGACAAUGGGCGAAAGCCUGAUCCAGCCAUGCCGCGUGUGUGAAGAAGGCCUUCGGGUUGUAAAGCACUUUCAGUGGGGAAGAAAGCCUUGGGGCUAAUACCCUCGAGGAAGGACAUCACCCACAGAAGAAGCACCGGCUAACUCCGUGCCAGCAGCCGCGGUAAUACGGAGGGUGCGGGCGUUAAUCGGAAUUACUGGGCGUAAAGCGCGCGUAGGCGGUCUGAUAAGCCGGUUGUGAAAGCCCCGGGCUCAACCUGGGAACGGCAUCCGGAACUGUCAGGCUAGAGUGCAGGAGAGGAAGGUAGAAUUCCCGGUGUAGCGGUGAAAUGCGUAGAGAUCGGGAGGAAUACCAGUGGCGAAGGCGGCCUUCUGGACUGACACUGACGCUGAGGUGCGAAAGCGUGGGUAGCAAACAGGAUUAGAUACCCCAGUAGUC
rnacentral:rRNA from 1 species